rnacentral:rRNA from 1 species
UGGGAAUUUGGACAAUUGGGCGAAAGCCUGAUCCAGCAAUGCCGCGUGUGUGAAGAAGGCCUUCGGGUUGUAAAGCACUUUUGUCCGGAAAGAAAUCCUUGGCUCUAAUACAGUCGGGGGAUGACGGUACCGGAAGAAUAAGCACCGGCUAACUACGUGCCAGCAGCCGCGGUAAUACGUAGGGUGCAAGCGUUAAUCGGAAUUACUGGGCGUAAAGCGUGCGCAGGCGGUUUGCUAAGACCGAUGUGAAAUCCCCGGGCUCAACCUGGGAACUGCAUUGGUGACUGGCAGGCUAGAGUAUGGCAGAGGGGGGUAGAAUUCCACGUGUAGCAGUGAAAUGCGUAGAGACGUGGAGGAAUACCGAUGGCGAAGGCAGCCCCCUGGGCCAAUACUGACGCUCAUGCACGAAAGCGUGGGGAGCAAACAGGAUUAGAUACCCUGGUAGUCCACGCCCCUAAACGAUGUCAACUAGUUGUUGGGGAUUCAUUUCCUUAGUAACGUAGCUAACGCGUGAGUUGACCGCCUGGGGAGUACGGUCGCAAGAUUAAAACUUAAAUGAAUUGACGGGGUCAUAGCUGUUUCCU